AAGUCGUAACAAGGUAACCGUAGGUGAACCUGCGGUUGGAUCAUUAUGGGAGUGCCAUACAAUUUACGAAUUGUGUGCUUCGACCCUGUGCAUUUUUAGUACUUGAUACGUGAUUGAGAGUGCUCGUACGUGCUCACGACAAUACAAUAAACUGAGAAGCAAAUCAAAACAACUUUUGACAACGGAUCUCUUGGCUCUC
rnacentral:misc_RNA from 1 species